rnacentral:lncRNA from 1 species
UUUCUUUCUCUUUUUUUUAUGAUGUCAUUGGGUGGAGAUAGAAUAGAGACUUGGAGAUAAAUACAAUCUCAUACUUUCAAAAGAUAAGGUGUUUACGAAUACUAUAAUUUUCAGCAUUUGAGCUAAUUUUAUCAAUUUAUAAUGUCUAAAGCGAAGAAAAGUGUGUGUGACGUAUCUAUUUGCUUAAGUCCGAUAAACACAUCAUACCACCGAUUCCCUAAAGAUUCUUCAAUAAGGAAGACAUGGAUUGAGGCCUGUAGAUGACUUUAAUGUUCAGGAAGCUAGAAUUUGUAAAAUCAUUUCGAGUCUUCUUAUUUUAAGCGAGACCUUCAAAAUGAUCUCUUGGGAUUUCCCACUCAAAAUUUAUUAAAACCCGGUUCCAUGCCAUCUCGUUUCUUACGAAAAUAAUAUAACAGGCCCCAAAAGAUAAAGAAAGCAGAGCCAUCAAGCGAAGGAGGAAGAAUGAAAUUAAGUCGCUUUUAGAUUCUGCAAUUCUUCAAAACACGAUGCCUGAGACUGAUCACCAUCCUAUGCUCCAAAAAGACGAACUUGACCAGACAAAGGAAAAAUAUCUUACAGAUGCAAUCACUCAAUAUGAUAUCCUAAAACCCAAAUCAAAAUUUGUAUCAGAAAUUAAAUUCCUUAGAAACAAACUUCUGGUGCCAGAGUAGGAAAUUUAAAAUCUUUGAAGCAUGCGUUGAUUAUCGUGAAUAAAUAUUUUCGUGGGAACCUUAGUCUAUCCAUAAAAAAGAUGUGUCAUAUCAUCUAAGACUAGUAAGUUCAAUCGUGGCUAUACAAAAGAUGAAAUUGUAACUGGACUUGUCUUAAGAGAAGAAGAAGUUGCAAUGCAAAGCUUAAGAAGAUUUGAUUCUUACAUUUGAUACAUGGUUUGAUGUUAUGAAUUUUCGUAGUAUAUUGGACGAGAAGAAAAUGUCAUGUGGUUUUGGGUGUACAUUGGGAAGAGCAGCGUGGUGCAUUAGAGAGGAUGGAAGUUUUGAUCACCUCCAUGAAAAUUAGGAAGAAAUCGAGAGAUGGUUAAUACGGGCUUAUCUUCCAUGGCAAAAAGGGAUUAUUAAAUCUUUAAAAUGUUUAUACAAUGACUUGGUUGAAAAUGAUCCAUUGACUUACAUCUUGACAACCAGACUUAACCAAGAUUGUGUCGAAAAUAUCUUCCGUAGAAUUCGUGGUAUAUCUGGUGAUAAUUCUCAUCCAGGACCGGUAGAAGUCAAAAUGGGGGAAAAUGCUCAAUUCUACGUCCAAGAUCCAUCUGUACAGAUGGAAGAAGAUUAUGAAAGUAGACCUUGUUAUACAGCUCAAAUAUCUCAAAAGGUUAAAAUUAUUCCUGAUCCCGAUAGUGAAGGGAUAAACCCUCCAAUCGACUCAUAGGAAAUUUUGAACGAUUUUGAACUUGUAAGAAAUUGUCAAGAGUCAAAAUUACUUGAAAUAUCCGAGAAUGUCCAGUGGGACUGCAAUUUUCAAGGGCUUAGUUAUGUGGCUGGAUACAUUGCAAGAAAAAUGUAUAAAAAAUACACAACUCUCGGUACUAUUUCGUCCCAAGUUCCUCAUGAAUCAUCACUUUCUCUCUGGAUAAUGCAUUUAUCUAAAGGUGGGAUAAUAGUCCCAGAAGAAAAUUUCCUUAAAUAUUGUUUCCUAUUUAAUGAUGAAUUUUCCCAGUUUCAUUCUGAUUUAGAUUGCAACCCAAAUUUCAUCUUUCUAUUUUGGGAUUUUUUAAAUGAACAAUAUGGACAUAUAUUCCCCGAGGACGUUUUUAGGUUUUUUUCUAAAGAAAGGACAUUUAUCAGAGUCAGAGCCUUAAAUUAUAAUUUAAGGGUAAAGGAAGCUUAGAAAAAUGAAACAAAUUCGGCAAUUUAGCACAUAAUUUUUUUUUUUUUUAAAUUGAUUUUCUAAUAUGUUCGUAUAUAUUUUUUAGUAUUAAAAUAAAUUAUAAAAAUAUCCU